rnacentral:rRNA from 1 species
AACGAACGCUGGCGGCACGUUUUAAGCAUGCAAGUCGAAUGGCAGCAGGGGCAACUCUGUGAGAAUGGCGAACGGGUGAGUAACACGUAGGUGAUCUGCCUUGAGGAUGGGGAUAGCCUGUGGAAACAUAGGGUAAUACCGAAUGAGCUGACGAGACUUUGGUUUUGUUAGUAAAGGUGCUACGGCACCGCCUUGAGAGGAGCCUGCGGCUGAUUAGCUAGUUGGUGGGGUAAGAGCUUACCAAGGCGACGAUCAGUAGCCGGCCUGAGCGGGUGUACGGCCACACUGGAACUGAGACACGGUCCCGACUCCUACGGGAGGCAGCAGCUAAGAAUCUUCCGCAAUGGGCGAAAGCCUGACGGAGCGAUGCCGCGUGAUCGAUGAAGGUCGAGAGAUUGUAAAGAUCUUUUCUACAUGAGGAAUAAGUCUGGGAGGGAAUGCCCGGAUGAUGACGUUAGUGUAGGAAUAAGCCCCGGCUAAUUACGUGCCAGCCGCCGCGGUAA